rnacentral:rRNA from 1 species
GACGUAGGGCGCGAGCGUUGUCCGGAUUUAUUGGGCGUAAAGAGCUCGUAGGCGGCUUGUCGCGUCGUCCGUGAAAACCUGCAGCUCAACUGCAGGCUUGCGGUCGAUACGGGCAGGCUGGAGUUCGGUAGGGGAGACUGGAAUUCCUGGUGUAGCGGUGAAAUGCGCAGAUAUCAGGAGGAACACCGGUGGCGAAGGCGGCUAUCUGGACAGAAACUGACGCUGAUGCGCGAAAGCUAGGGGAGCAAACAGG